GGGUCAUUAGCUCAGUUGGUAGAGCAGUGGACUUUUAAUCCAUUGGCCGAUGGUUCAAGUCCAUCAUGACCCA
rnacentral:tRNA from 1 species